UACGUAGGGGGCAAGCGUUGUCCGGAUUUAUUGGGCUUAAAGGGUGCGUAGGUGGUCUAUUAAGUCAGUGCUGAAAUAUCCCGGCUUAACCGGGAGGGUGGCAUUGAUACUGAUGGACUUGAGUAAAGUUGAGGUGGGCGGAAUUGACGGUGUAGCGGUGAAAUGCUUAGAUAUCGUCAAGAACACCUAUUGCGAAGGCAGCUCACUAAGCUUUAACUGACACUGAGGCACGAAAGUGUGGGGAUCAAACAGG
rnacentral:rRNA from 1 species